rnacentral:tRNA from 2 species
GGGCUAGAAACUCAAAUUGGAAUGAGUACCGGCCUUUUAAGCCGGGAGUUGCAGGUUCAAAUCCUGUCUAGCUCA